CGCGGAGUGGAGCAGCUCGGUAGCUCGUCGGGCUCAUAACCCGAAGGUCAUAGGUUCAAAUCCUAUCUCCGCAACCA
rnacentral:tRNA from 2 species